AAACUGGAGCAGCAGCAUGGCCAGGUGGACUGGGGACAGCAAGGAGUCAUCAUGUCAGGUAGUCCUGGGGCAUGGUCCUAGGUCCUAGGUGAUCUACCAUAGGUGACUUCCUCCCUCCCUCUAGGUGAUCUACCAUAGGUGACUCCCUCCCUCCCUCUAGGUGAUCUACCAUAGGUGACUCCCUCCCUCUAGGUGAUCUACCAUAGUAUAGUACAGGGUUAAGGGUGUAUUGAUGAUACAGGGUUAAGGGUGUAUUGAUGGUACAGGGUUAAGGGUAUAUUGAUGGUACGGGGUUAAGGGUGUAUUGAUGGUACGGGGUUUAGGGUGUAUUGAUGGUACAGGGUUAAGGGUGUAUUGAUGGUACGGUGUUAAGGGUGUAUUGAUGGUACAGGGUAAGGGGGUAUUGAUGGUACAGGGUUAAGGGUGUAUUGAUGGUACAGGGUGUAUUGAUGGUACAGGGUUAAGGGUGUAUUGAUGGUACAGGGUUAAGGGUGUAUUGAUGGUACAGGGUGUAUUGAUGGUACAGGGUUAAGGGUGUAUUGAUGGUACAGGGUGUAUUGAUGGUACAGGGUUAAGGGUGUAUUGAUGGUACAGGGUUAAGGGUGUAUUGAUGGUACAGGGUGUAUUGAUGGUACAGGGUUAAGGGUGUAUUGAUGGUACAGGGUGUAUUGAUGGUACAGGGUUAAGGGUGUAUUGAUGGUACAGGGUUAAGGGUGUAUUGAUGGUUAAGGGUGUAUUGAUGGUACAGGGUUAAGGGUGUAUUGAUGGUACAGGGUUAAGGGUGUAUUGAUGGUACAGGGUUAAGGGUGUAUUGAUGGUACAGGGUGUACUGAUGGUACAGGGUUAAGGGUGUAUUGAUGGUACAGGGUUAAGGGUGUAUUGAUGGUUAAGGGUGUAUUGAUGGUACAGGGUUAAGGGUGUAUUGAUGGUACAGGCAGGGCAGGCUGAUGGCAGUAUAAGAGGCAGAGGGGUGGAGGGAGCUUUGUCACUUUGCUCUCAUUCACAGAGACAAUCACUCUCUGGACAAACACCCACGACGGACAGGGUGUAUUGAUGGUACAGGGUAAGGGGGUAUUGAUGGUACAGGGUUAAGGGUGUAUUGAUGGUACAGGGUGUACUGAUGGUACAGGGUUAAUGGUGUAUUGAUGGUACAGGGUUAAGGGUGUAUUGAUGGUACAGGGUUAAGGGUGUAUUGAUGGUUAAGGGUGUAUUGAUGGUACAGGGUUAAGGGUGUAUUGAUGAUACGGGGUUAAGGGUGUAUUGAUGGUACAGGGUUAAGGGUGUAUUGAUGGUACAGAGUUAAGGGUGUAUUGAUGGUACAGGGUUAAGGGUGUAUUGAUGGUACAGGGUUAAGGGUGUAUUGAUGAUACGGGGUUAAGGGUGUAUUGAUGGUACAGGGUUAAGGGUGUAUUGAUGGUACAGGGUUAAGGGUGUAUUGAUGGUACAGAGUUAAGGGUGUAUUGAUGGUACAGGGUGUAUUGAUGGUACAGGGUUAAGGGUGUAUUGAUGGUACAGGGUUAAGGGUGUAUUGAUGGUACAGGGUUAAGGGUGUAUUGAUGGUACAGGGUUAAGGGUGUAUUGAUGGUACAGGGUUAAUGGUGUAUUGAUUUUGUAGAGCGGUCUGAUGGUUCCAGGUGUUUGUUCAAAGUCUUGUCGGCCAUCUUGUGUCUGAGAUCCAUUAGUGUCCUGCGGUUUCUCUAAUCCUCAUUCACAUGUAAUGGCGCAGAUAGCAUGUGAAUGGACAGCCACAAACUGCAGAGCCGGCCGUUAGCACACACGCUAAUGAACCCUCACUUUGCAUAGGUAUUAAUAUGGCUAGCACUAGGCUUUAACACCACAAAAUGAUGAAAAAGUCAAGGGGUGUGAAAACUUUCUGAAGGCACAUGUGGGGGGUGGGGGCUUCCUGUCAGCAUCACCUACUACAUGUGGUGUCAAUAGAAGGAACAGUCGGGGGCAGGGCAGGCUGAUGGCAGUAUAAGAGGCAGAGGGGUGGAGGGAGCUUUGUCACUUUGCUCUCAUUCAGAGACAAUCACUCUCUGGACAAACACCCACGACGGACACACACUGAAGACACACAUUCAUUAACUGAGAAGAGAUCCUGAGAGGGACCCACAGCACCACAGCAUCCUGCCCAGAGAGAGAAAGACUGAUUCCUGGGUAGAGAGAGGAGCUCCAGACCCUUCCUAUCCUGAGAGGGACCCACAGCACCACAGCAUCCUGCCCAGAGAGAGAAAGACUGAUUACUGGGUAGAGAGAGGAGCUCCAGACCCUUCCUAUCCUGAGAGGGACCCACAGCACCACAGCAUCCUGCCCAGAGAGAGAAAGACUGAUUCCUGGGUAGAGAGAGGAGCUCCAGACCCUUCCUAUCCAGCCAUGAGGAUCAUCAGCCUACUGUACCUGCUGCUGCUAGUAACUGUUCUAGGAUCAGUUUCUGCAGUGAGACCAGACAUCUUGAACAUACGGAGAAGGUACCACAGACAUCACUGCCCCCACCGCCGCUGCAUGCCCCUGCACUCCAGAGUACCAUUCCCCUGAGGUGUAACAGAGUGAACAUGGAGGUAAGAGAGAAGAGGAGAGUCUCUGUGACAUCCUCACCCCUCCUCUUCCCCCCACAGGACACCACACACACCUGUGGGGACACACCUGUGGACAAGAGACACAGAGUGCGGAAACACGGCGCUGAAGGACUGAACACUGAGCAAGAGACAUAGCCUGUGCUGAGACUGGGAGUUUGGGUAGAGAGGAGAGAGAGGACUACUGCUGCUGCUGUUGAAUAGACAAAGAUCUGAACUGGAGUCACUAGACUACCUGCCUUCCUGCUCACAUCACUUCAUGUACAUACCACCGCCAUUUAUCUGGGUACUGAGACAUUUAUACUAUAUACCACAGUACCAAGACAUUUAUACUAUAUACCACAGUACCAAAACAUGUAUACUAUAUACCACAGUACCAAAACAUGUAUACUAUAUAGCACAGUACCAAGGCAUUUAUACUAUAUACCACAGUACCAAAACAUUUAUACUAUAUAGCACAGUACCAAGGCAUUUAUACUAUAUACCAUAGUACCAAGACAUUUAUACUAUAUACCACAGUACCAAGGCAUUUAUACUAUAUACCACAGUACCAAGGCAUUUAUACUAUAUACCACAGUACUAAAACCUUUAUACUAUAUACCACAGUACCAAGGCAUUUAUACUAUAUACCAUCUGGGUACCAUAAAAACUACAGCUCAGACUAAUACAAUAUACAGAAUAAGUGUUUUUAUGGGAGAAAUGCACUUCAAAUGUACAGUAUGUUCCAGUUAAUGACCUUUUAAUAAUAAAACAAUCUGUUUAUACUCUU